rnacentral:misc_RNA from 1 species
AAAUAAAGAAACUUACCUUGGUAAAUAUUCUUUGGAUGAAGUUGAGGAAUGUCAAAAUGAAGUGAGAGAUCUAGCGGAAAACCAAAAUUUGACUCUCAAACAGGUUUCAAAUAAAGGAAAGCAGAAGGGGAAGAGGAAACCUUCUUUGUGGAGUCUACAGUAGUUUUAUGAUAAAUAUAUUCUCUGUUACUUUAUUCUCGGUUACUUUACUCCUGAUGAUUUGUAGCCCUUAACUGCCUUUAACUUGGUUCAUUGCUGAUAUGAAUUUCUAUAUAUCACAUUUUAUGUGCUGUGUUCUCUUCCUUUCUCUAUUUUUUUUCUGGGAUGUUCUUCAUUUGAGUAAUUUAAAGAAUUUGAGGCUGUAGCAUCAGUGAUAUUUCUUCAUCAGUGACUUAAAACUUUAGAGGAUGUUGAGUAAACAAUUGUUAAUAUUUUCCAUACAUGAUAAAAUCAAUAUGGUAAAUUACAAACAUUCAAAUAAGUAAAAUAGUGAAUUGUGUGAUUUUACCAUGAAAACUUGUAAAACCGUAUUGUUUUUCAUCAUUGGAAAUGCAGUUUCAACUCAGUUUUAUUUGAUUGCAAGUCUAAAUAUGUUUUCCAUUAUUUUUGUAUUUAUAACUUACAAAAUCAUACGAGUUAACUUGAGAUUUUAACAAUAAAGCACUAACACAUUCCAAAUAAAAAAAAAUUGAAGUACUUGUAAUCUAAUUAUAAUAACUUUUGAAAAUAACUAAGCUAUAUUAAGAUUCAUAAAAUAAGCCCAUAUUCUUUAAUUAGAAGAUGCAUAAGACUUCAUAAAAUUUACAAGAGUAAUCUAAAUUGUCAUAGUUAAGAAUUAAAUCAAGAUAAUUCCUGAACUUCUUUCUACUCUCCUGCAUCAUUCUAUUUGCUUAUAGACUGUCAAGUGACUCACAGCUUCCUUGUAGGUUUCACUUUGUAGUACUUAUUAUUUAAUUACUAUUGAGGUAUACGUCUGAAGGUCACAUUCUAAUGCAGUCAUUUAAAGAAUGGGUUUUGAG